rnacentral:rRNA from 1 species
AGAUUGAACGCUGGCGGCAUGCCUUACACAUGCAAGUCGAACGGCAGCACGGGGGCAACCCUGGUGGCGAGUGGCGAACGGGUGAGUAAUACAUCGGAACGUGUCCUGUAGUGGGGGAUAGCCCGGCGAAAGCCGGAUUAAUACCGCAUACGAUCUACGGAAGAAAGCGGGGGAUCGCAAGACCUCGCGCUAUAGGGGCGGCCGAUGGCAGAUUAGCUAGUUGGUGGGGUAAAGGCCUACCAAGGCGACGAUCUGUAGCUGGUCUGAGAGGACGACCAGCCACACUGGGGACUGAGACACGGCCCAGACUCCUACGGGAGGCAGCAGUGGGGAAUUUUGGACAAUGGGGGAAACCCUGAUCCAGCAAUGCCGCGUGUGUGAAGAAGGCCUUCGGGUUGUAAGCACUUUUGUCCGGAAGAAACCUUUGCACUAAUACUGUGAGGGAUGACGGUACCGGAAGAAUAAGCACCGGCUAACUACGUGCCAGCAGCCGCGGU